CAGCAGUCGGGAAUUUUGGGCAAUGGGCGAGAGCCUGACCCAGCAACGCCGCGUGAAGGAUGAAAUCCCUCGGGAUGUAAACUUCGCAAGAAUGGGAAGAAUUAGUAGGGGUUAAUACCCCCUAUGAUGACGGUACCAUUUGUAAGCUCCGGCUAACUCCGUGCCAGCAGCCGCGGUAAUACGGGGGGAGCAAGCGUUGUUCGGAUUUACUGGGCGUAAAGGGCGCGUAGGCGGCCAGCGCAAGUCGGUUGUGAAAUCUACGGGCUUAACUCGGAAAGGUCAACUGAUACUGCGCGGCUAGAGUGCGGAAGGGGCAACUGGAAUUCUCGGUGUAGCGGUGAAAUGCGUAGAUAUCGAGAGGAACACCUGCGGCGAAGGCGGGUUGCUGGGCCGACACUGACGCUGAUGCGCGAAAGCCAGGGGAGCGAACGGGAUUAGA
rnacentral:rRNA from 1 species